GAUGAACGCUGACAGAAUGCUUAACACAUGCAAGUCGAUGGGGAAGUGGUGCUUGCACCAUGGUAACCAUGGCGGACGGGUGAGUAACGCGUAAGGAACUUACCUGCGGGACCGGGAUAACAGCAGGAAACUGCUGACAAGACCGGAUAAGGUCAUUAAGCUGCAUAGCUUAGCGAUGAAAGGAGACGCCUGCGGAGAGCCUUGCGUCCUAUUAGCUAGUUGGAGGGGUAACGGCCCACCAAGGCGAAGAUAGGUAGCCGGCCUGAGAGGGUGGACGGCCACGAGGGGACUGAGAUGCGGCCGUUACUCCUACGGGAGGCAGCAGUGGAGAAUAUUGGACAAUGGGGGCAACCCUGAUCCAGCAAUUCUGUGUGCACGAAGACGGUUUUCGGAUUGUAAAGUGCUUUCAGCAGAGAAGAAGGAAGUGACGGUACCUGCAGAAGAAGCAACGGCUAAAUACGUG
rnacentral:rRNA from 1 species